UGGGGAAUAUUGCACAAUGGGCGCAAGCCUGAUGCAGCCAUGCCGCGUGUGUGAAGAAGGCCUUCGGGUUGUAAAGCACUUUCAGCGGGGAGGAAGGCGGUGAGGUUAAUAACCUCACCGAUUGACGUUACCCGCAGAAGAAGCACCGGCUAACUCCGUGCCAGCAGCCGCGGUAAUACGGAGGGUGCAAGCGUUAAUCGGAAUUACUGGGCGUAAAGCGCACGCAGGCGGUCUGUCAAGUCGGAUGUGAAAUCCCCGGGCUUAACCUGGGAACUGCAUUCGAAACUGGCAGGCUAGAGUCUUGUAGAGGGGGGUAGAAUUCCAGGUGUAGCGGUGAAAUGCGUAGAGAUCUGGAGGAAUACCGGUGGCGAAGGCGGCCCCCUGGACAAAGACUGACGCUCAGGUGCGAAAGCGUGGGGAGCAAACAGG
rnacentral:rRNA from 1 species